rnacentral:misc_RNA from 1 species
UCGUUUCUCUUCUUCUCCUUCCCUCACUACCUCAGCUACCUUCAAUCUCUAUGGUUUGUGCUUGAUGUCGCUUUCCAUUGUCACCCCUUCCCCCACUUCUCCUUCUCCCUUACUACCUCAGAACCAUCUCCCUCCUCACUCCCUCAAAUCCAUCCCCCUCACUCCCUCACAGUCACAACAAAGCACCGAGCGUCACCAUCCAUCAUGUGGUGAACAAGUUCCAAUGACUUUGAUCUUCGCUCUUUAUGUUAUUGUUCUGCUUCAAUGAAAGUGGUAAGCGACUCCCUCAUCUUGACUCUCCAUGUGGUGGUUGUGGACUAGAAGAUGAAGUGUUGAUUGAGAAGAAAAUGGAUCUCGCAAGGGAGUCUAUUGUUUAUCCAUUGCAUUGCAUGUUCCCUUUGUGGGUUUUAAAUUCUGAAUUAGAUUUUCUACCCAUUGCAUAUGUAAUUGAGUGACUGAGCCUUUGUGUCUUUGGGUGGAAACGAUAAUUGUUGAUGAAAUUUGGUAGUUGUUGAGAUUUAUUUGUUUAUUGAUGAGAUUUGCUUGAUAUUAAUCUUCAAACUAUGAUUUUAUGAA